CAGCCGCCGCGGUAAUACCAACCCCGCGAGUGGUCGGGACGUUUAUUGGGCCUAAAGCGUCCGUAGCCGGCCCGGUAAGUCCCUCCUUAAAGCCCACGGCUCAACCGUGGGAGCGGAGGGAUACUGCCGGGCUAGGGGGCGGGAGAGGCCGGGGGUACUCCUGGGGUCGGGGCGAAAUCCUAUAAACCCAGGAGGACCACCAGUGGCGAAGGCGCCCGGCUAGCACGCGCCCGACGGUGAGGGACGAAAGCUGGGGGAGCAAAGGGGAUUAGAUACCCCCGUAGUCCCAGCUGUAAACGAUGCAGGCUAGGUGUUAGGCGGGCUUCGUGCCCGCCUAGUGCCGUAGGGAAGCCGUUAAGCCUGCCGCCUGGGGAGUACGGCCGCAAGGCUGAAACUUAAAGGAAUUGGCGGG
rnacentral:rRNA from 1 species